rnacentral:rRNA from 1 species
GUGGGGAAUCUUGCGCAAUGGGCGAAAGCCUGACGCAGCCAUGUCGCGUGAAUGAUGAAGGUCUUAGGAUUGUAAAAUUCUUUCACCGGGGACGAUAAUGACGGUACCCGGAGAAGAAGCCCCGGCUAACUUCGUGCCAGCAGCCGCGGUAAUACGAAGGGGGCUAGCGUUGCUCGGAAUUACUGGGCGUAAAGGGCGCGUAGGCGGACAGUUUAGUCAGAGGUGAAAGCCCAGGGCUCAACCUUGGAAUUGCCUUUGAUACUGGCUGUCUUGAGUACGGGAGAGGUGAGUGGAACUCCGAGUGUAGAGGUGAAAUUCGUAGAUAUUCGGAAGAACACCAGUGGCGAAGGCGACUCACUGGCCCGUUACUGACGCUGAGGCGCGAAAGCGUGGGGAGCAAACAGGAUUAGAUACCCGAGUAGUCU